UACAGAGGUCUCAAGCGUUGUUCGGAUUCAUUGGGCGUAAAGGGUGCGUAGGCGGCGCGGUAAGUCGGGUGUGAAAUCUCGGGGCUUAACUCCGAAACUGCAUUCGAUACUGCCGUGCUUGAGGACUGGAGAGGAGACUGGAAUUUACGGUGUAGCGGUGAAAUGCGUAGAUAUCGUAAGGGAAGACCAGUGGCGAAGGCGGGUCUCUGGACAGUUCCUGACGCUGAGGCACGAAGGCCAGGGGAGCAAACGGGG
rnacentral:rRNA from 1 species